rnacentral:sRNA from 1 species
UUGAUAGUCAUGGGAACUAAAAAUCUUCUAUUUAACUGAAAAGAACAGGGGAAAGGGCAGUGCAGGCUUCAGUGCAAGCUUCCCUACAGUGGGCCUUAAUCCUUUUCAGUGUUCACACCCUGGGGGUGAGAGGACAGGUUAGUGGUUCUUUACCAAUGAAUCUUCAGUCCCA